UCAAGGAAGAGGUUCACACCCCACCACCAGCCCCCAAAGCUGAAAUUCUUCUUAAACUAUUCCCUG
rnacentral:tRNA from 3 species